AGACGUCUACAUUAGAUACCCGGGUAGUCCCAGCCGUAAACUAUGCGCGUUAGGUGUAUCGGUGACCACGAGUCACCGAGGUGCCGAAAGGGAAACCGUGAAACGUGCCGCCGUGGGAAGUACGGUCGCAAGGCUAGAAACUUAAAGGAAUUGGCGGGGGAGCACCACAACGGGUGGAGCCUGCGGUUUAAUUGGACUCAACGCCGGGAAGCUCACCGGAUAAGACAGCGGAAUGAUUGCCGGGCUGAAGACCCUGCAUGACUAGCUG
rnacentral:rRNA from 1 species